GCCCUGGUAGCUCAGCUGGAUAGAGCAGAGGACUUCUAAGCCUAAGGUCAUUGGUUCGAAUCCAAUCCGGGGCACCA
rnacentral:tRNA from 1 species